AGCUGCAAGGAAUCAGGCUUGCCUUGAGCUCCUAACAAUCUAUGGGAGUCACUUGCCAUGCACAGACGACAACAAAGAGCUUGUAUUUAAAGAAUAAAGUGGUGGCUUCUAGUGAGUGGUAUGAUUCCUGGUGUGUUCCUGGCUCUUGCAGUCCUGGCCUUGGAGUUGUGCCCCCUCGUGACUGCUGCUCAUGGGCUCAUCUUCCUGAAAGCAGGAAGGUGGGCCUACUCUGGUGACAGAGACAAGUAAGGCAUAACGUAUCUUGAUUUCAGCAAAGCAUUCGAUUCAGGAGCAGAGGAGGCAUCUCUGACUGAAAGUGAAGGGGCAUAAGAGAACACUAAGCAACAAGAGCAGAAGCUGCCAGAUACCCCAAUUACAGCUAAGCCAGAUAAGAGAGGAGGGAGCAUGGUUCACAAAUAUUUCCAUGUCUACCCCGAAAGCACCCUGAAUUUAUGCUAUGUUGGGGGAAAUGUGUCAGCAUUUGCUCAAGCAACCUGGUGAUGCUCCCCAUCUUCUUGUUCUGCAUUGGCAGGCAAGAAAAUGCAAGGGAGAGCAUAAAGCCAGGAAGAACUGCUGCAAACUGGUAAUCUUUCUUCCUUUCUGGCUGAGGGCCAAGAAAGCCCUUGCAUUGCCAUCAGUCUGAAUAGUGGGGAGAAAAAGUUUUGUUAGAGGAGCGAUAGACGACGCUACUGUACCAUUUACAACAGUAGGUGACAUUUGGGGGGAGCACUGUGCCUUGUAGAGGUUCAUCAGGCAGAAAUUUAUCAUGUGCAUCACUAGCAAAUGAUUAAGGAAGCUGCAUCAGAAUGCAGACAAGCUGUGAAGACUGAUGGCAAAGAACAUGCUUGCUGUCAUUAAAGGAGUCACGAGGAUAUUUUCAGAAGAUUUUACUUAAGGGGAUAUUUAAUUUUUACCUCUGUAAUACAAACACCACCAGGCUUUAGGGAGCUUGAACAACUUCACUUAUAUUGUAAUAUGUAAUGUAAAUGUAACAAAUAAAU